CGACACGGUCACACCUUUAUUCUACACAUCUUGGUCUAAAUCAGCCUUUAUGAAAAAGGCCUUUCAGCCAUCUUGGAUUUUGUAUGUAAACAAUCUGCAUUAUUUUGCAAUAUCUUUUUUUUGCUCUUUGUGUGUGGAAUUGUUUUGGUGGCAAUAAGAGCAUUGAGAAGUUGAAAGAUCAAGAGAAUAAAUCGACUCUCGGUGUCGGUUGGUGAUGGAGAUAUUUUUCCCGCGUUUUGCAGCUAGAGACGUCGGUUAAUCGUUCGAUUAAUUCAUAUAAUCGAAUAUCUGCAUCAGUAAUUUUAUAUCGAAUAAUAAAAAAUCAUGAAAACACAGUGCAAAAUUUGUUUAACCGUCAUGGUGUUUCGUCUAAAUUCAUCGAAUAUGCUAAAUUAUUUACGGUUGAAGCAUGAAAAUGAUGCCUUGGUGGUGGGGGAAACUGGGAACAAGAGUUCAGAGUCUGCAGGAGUAAAAUGCGGACUUGAAGAAGGUGGUCUCAGCUCCCAUUCUAAAAUAGUAGUAUUCAAAUUCAGAGUGCUAAGGAAAAUAUAUCAUACUAGUGGUCAAUAAUUCUAUAAAUAUACUUCUUUAGAACUAGUAGUUAUAGGGACCAAGUAGAAAUAUUCAAACAAAUCAGCUAUUUCAACAACAUUCGAAGAACAGAUAAUUUCGAACAGCAAAAUUUUAUGUUGGUGCAAUAAAAAUGUAGGACUCGAUUAUAUACAGACUCGAUAAUAUGUGAUUCGAUUAUAUACAAUUUUGGACUAGUUUAUAUACAGUUUGGAAAAAAAUAUUUUUUUUUGUAUUUUAAGUAUGACUUAUUUCAGGAAGAAAGGUAACCUUUUAACGUUAAGGUGAAAUUUAAGUGGGUAUUGCAUGUACAGUGGGAUAAAAAUUGUCAUUUUUGAGGAUUUUACUUGAGUUUUCACCAUUUGUAUCGUUAUAUCGUUAUUGCAGCCAAAUCAAAAAGGUAGAAGUUGGGUGUGUGCACCCGUGGCCGAGUGGUUAGCGUCAUAACUAACAUGCCGGGUGCUCGGGUUCGAUUCCCGUUCUGGUCGGGGGAAUUUUUCGUCAAAGAAAUUUCCUCCGACUUGCACUGUGAUCACGCGUAUUCUAGAGUUUGCCACUCAGAAUGCAUUCAAGGCGUGUUAUUUGGCAUAGAAAUCUUAACUAAGUACUAAUGAAAAUGACGCAAGUAAUACUACGUUGAGACGGCGAAGUUCCUCUAGGAACGUUAGUGCCAUUGAAGAAGAAGAAGAAGAAGAAGAAGAAGCAGUUGGGUGUCAAAGAACAAAUUUUCAUGCGGUUAGAGAACAUUAAUUUAAUUGAUAGAAAUGAUCUAGUUCAAUAUAAAUUUUCAGGUUAAAAUUAAUAAUACCACGUUAAAAACUGUUAACCUUCAAGUUAUCCACUUCCAAAAUGUUAUCAAAAUCCACUAAUUUACAUGUUCCACUACUAUAUCCUGUACAAAAUUUUCUCAUCUUUCAAAUGAAAGCAACAGAAUCGUCUUCCGUAGCGUAGUAUUUAAAGUAGAGAAAGUUAGAGGCAACAAAGUUCGAAACAAAAAAAAAGUUCUAUAACUAUUUCAUUGUUGAAAUUCGAACAUAUGCGUAGAAGGAUUUUUUUUUCAUCAAAUAUGAUCGUCUAUUAUCUACUGAGAGAAUCUGGAUAAAUUUAUUUCAUGCGAGAAAGGUGUUUUCUGACUUUAAGGGUAUGAAUCAAAAAUCAAAUUCCUCUUUCAUAUUCAAAAAAUGAAAAAAAAAAAUGCAAUAAAA